rnacentral:rRNA from 1 species
GACGAACGCUGGCGGCGUGCUUAACACAUGCAAGUCGAACGGAAAGGCCCUGCUUUUGUGGGGUGCUCGAGUGGCGAACGGGUGAGUAACACGUGAGUAACCUGCCCUUGACUUUGGGAUAACUUCAGGAAACUGGGGCUAAUACCGGAUAGGAGCUCCUGCUGCAUGGUGGGGGUGGGAAAUUUUCGGCGGUUGGGGUUGGACUCGCGGCUUAUCAGCUUGUUGGUGGGGUAGUGGCUUACCAAGGCUUUGACGGGUAGCCGGCCUGAGAGGGUGACCGGCCACAUUGGGACUGAGAUACGGCCCAGACUCCUACGGGAGGCAGCAGUGGGGAAUAUUGCACAAUGGGCGGAAGCCUGAUGCAGCAACGCCGCGUGCGGGAUGACGGCCUUCGGGUUGUAAACCGCUUUCGCCUGUGACGAAGCGUGAGUGACGGUAAUGGGUAAAGAAGCACCGGCUAACUACGUG